AUUAUAUAGCACACCCCGAGACACGUGUGAUCAGACUGAAAAUUCUCAGUGAGAGAGAGUCCGGAAGUGAAUAGUAUUAAAUUUACAUCUAAUAUAGGAUAAAAUUUUUCGAAAAAAAUUCUAUCAAUGGCCAGCAUAUUAAAAAAUACCUUUAAAGGUUAAAUUUAUAAACAACUUAAAAACAAGAGCAAAAGAAAACUCUGAGAAUUUUCAGUCUGAUCACACGUGUCUCGGGGUGUGCUAUAUAAUUUCUAUUUUGGAUAUAUUUGGGGUACUUAAGUGCACUCAUGACUUAGUGUUUGCUUCUUCCAUGGGUAUAAGUAAGUAUUUCAUUUAUUUCUUACCGUAUUUAUUGAUGACGAGGAGAAAAUUCUUAUGAAUUAACUCUGAAAUCGGGGCUGAUACGAUAAUAAUGGAAUUUUUUAGAAAUUUCUGUCGGCUAACUUCCAGAUGCGUGCUUAUAGUGAUAAAUUAUAUGGUUAUUGACAAUUUAAGUCUAUUUUUGGCAUUAGAAUUUUCUUUUGCCCUUGUUUAUAAAUUUAACCUUUAAAAUAUAUAUAUAGAAGAGCAUAGGCUUGAAAUGUAAAAAACUUUUUCUAUUCCUGAGUGUUAUACAUCUUUUGUUUUGUACACCACCUGUCUUCGUCCUUUUUUUUUUUUUUUUUCGUAAACUCUCCCUAUAUAUAUAUAUGACAAGCUUCUUUCAGUUUUUGUCUUCCAAAUCCACUCAAGGCUUUGGUUGGUCUGAGGCUGUAGAAGACACUUGUCCAAAGUGCCAUGCAGUGGUUCUGAACCUGGAACCAUGUGGUUGGGAAGCAAGCUUCUUGCCACACAGCCAUGUCUGCAGGUAUAGAAAUACUUAUUGAAAUAUUACAGUAAGAUUUUAAUUGAUAAUUUAUAGUAAUUGAGUUAUUGCAAGUUUGUAACCAGCUGGUUACAUUUUCAUGGAUGUUUGCAGAAUGUUUUACCUGAAGAAUUUAUAUUUUGUUUUCCAGAAUUUAACAGCUGUUUCUCAGAAUUCUUUUAACUUCCUCAUCUUGAUUAUUGACAACUCCUUGAGGGAUUUGCAGAUGUAGGAUGUAUCAAUAAUUUUAAAUGAGACAUUUUGUAAAUAUUAGAUAUGGUGCUGUCUUUCCUUCUCUCUCUCUCUCUCUCUCUCUCAACACACUCCCAUCACUAUCAUACAAUUCAAGGUUAGGUGUUGUUUUAUGUAUUAAUUUAAAAACCAAUAUAAACACCAUCUUCAAAUUCAUUAAUUUCACUUAAUUCCAGCUUAUCUAUUUUGCUUCUGUCUUUUGUAACUGGUUCUAUAUUGCAUUAGAAAUUCCCUGGAAGCUGAAGUCCGUUUCAUUUGUCUGCCAUCUCUUCAGUACUACUUGCCAUGUAUGUAUGUGCAUUGCUUUAGUAUCCACUUUAACAUGCAUGUAUGAGUCAAACGUAACUUGUUAAGGCAGAUUUUCGUUGGCUGGAUGUUCUUCCUGUUUCCAACCACCAUCUCUUACCAAACAGGUUAUUAUUUUCCUUAGUCUUUCCAGCAAAAUAUACUUCAAUGGCCAGAUGUUUUUGCAGAUUUUAAAUAAAUGACACUGCAUGAACAGAGAUUUUUCCAGUGAACCAACAUGCAGACAAAGGAAAGACCUGAACGUGUGUGUGUGUGUAUGAUAGGCAUGCUUAUUGUGGUUUCUGUCUACAAAUCUGCUCACAGAAAAUUAGUCAGAUUGUAUCUAUAGUUGAAGGCACUGAGCAUCUGGACUAAGAGGACCUCUCAAUCACAGAGCCACAUAUUUGUGUACAUGAGCACACACACAAACACAUGUAUUGUACCAGAUAUUUUAUGACACAACAUGGUAGCUGGAAAUUUGGUUCCAGUGCAAGAAUUUUUUUUUUUUUUUUGGUUAAUGUGGGUUGAGCAAUACAGGUAGUUUUAUGUGCUUGCAGGCAACUGUCCAAGCUUCUUGAUGUGAGUCAUUAUUUACCUUGCUUGGAAACAAGUGAUUGCUGGCAUCCAGCUGUAAAAAAAAAAAAAAAAUGUGCUUCAGUGAAUUCUGCCUGACCCAUGCGAGCGUGUGCAAAAGUGAAUAUUGAAACUAUAUGUAAUUGUUUUUAUGUGUAAGUAUGUAUGGACAAACAUAAAUUGCCAAAUAAUGCCAUACUUUUAUAUAGUCUCAUGUUUGUAUCUCUAUAUACACAUUUAUAUACAAGGGGUUGCUGAAAAGUUCUUGGCUUUGGGUGAAAGAAAAAUACCUGAAGAUAAAUUAUUUUAUUCAGCAUGUUCCCAUCUCAGAUUCACACACUUAUUGCAACAGUCCUUCAGUUUUUCUAAGCCCUGUAAAAAGAACUCAUCCUUGUCCUCUGUGAUUGCAGAAGUUGGCCAUCCUGAUUGGGACUCAUUUGGGACCUCAAAACGACCAGUCUGAAAUCUUGACACCCAGGUUUUCACUGUGGAGUAAGAUGGGCAGCCAUCCUUCAAGACUUCUUUAUCUUGCCAUGGAUUUCUACUCCUGCUUUGCCUUGCAGAAAGAGGAACUUCAUAACUGCCCAUGCUUCAAUUUUACAAAAAUCCACUGUAAGAGCUGCCAUCAUGCAUUAAAUCUACAAAAAAAUGAUAUAUAUUGUGAUUUUUUUGCAUGUCUUCUAAAUAGUUGUCCUGUCUCUCCUGUAAAGGUAACAGCUCAACCCUUUUGCAAUGUCCUUAAAGCCAGGAACUUCUCAGCAACCCCUUGCAUUGUAUGUACAUAUGAGAAAAGAACCUGGCUGUCAUUGACUUGGUACUCCUUUAUUCCAUCUGUUAAAUGUUUCAGUAUUUAGCAGCACGUUACAUCACAUCAGAAGAUGUGCUCUAUAGGAGCUGCAUGGUGAGCAUUGUUGGGCAGGAAAUAUAAGACCAACAGCAACCAAACACAUUGGAGGCUUGGGCGAGAAUGGGAGACAGUAGGCAGAUUGGAAGAAAGCCAACUGACAUUACCACAGGUUGGACUGGUAUUUGUGAGGGUAGAAUUUAGUCACUUGGCAGGGGGUGAGAGAUGGCAUAGUAGCUAGGAGCUACUUCUGGUCAGUAACCUGGCCCACUUGUAAACAUACAUAUGUACCUGUGUGUAUGUAUAUCAUCAUUUAAUGUCUGUUUUCCAUUUGGGAUCUAGAGCCACUCUAGAUCCCAUUGUUUUGGCAUGGUUGGAUGCCCUACCUAACACCAACCUCUUUACCAGGUGUUGUUGGUGCUUUUUACAUGACACCAGCUUCAGCAGGGUCGACAAGUACUUAGUAAACAUGUGCAUACACUCAUGUAUGUAUAUAAAUAUAUAUGUAUAUACACACUACGAAUCACAUCAACAUCAAUAAUAAAUAGCAGUGGUAGUGAAUUGAUUUGACAGCAAUAAGAAAUUGCAAAGGUAGUAAAGAUGACCACAAAGGCCUGACACAGAGUAACGAUAAACAGGUAAGAACAACCAUGUGUGUACACAGGGUGGAGAGUGCUGAGGUGAAGAUGGAUGCCAGUCUACCAUGUGGUAAUGUCAUUUGUUGUUUUGCCAACCUAUCUUAUUUGUUUUGCUCAUCCUGCCACUGUUUAAAUUUGGUUGCUGUUGGUCUCUUACUUCUUGUCUGACAAUAUAGUUCUUCAUCACGCUGGCCCUGUGUUGCGAUGCCAUGUGUUACUGAAUAUUGGAAUGCAUGCAACAGUGGCAAUAAAGGAUUUCCAAAUGAAUGGAAAUGUUACCAGAAACUGUUAGAAAGGUAAACGCCAGAGAGAAUGAGUGGUCCUCACCACUUCAUGCCGUGUCUUCCUGGUGCUCUUUGUAUUACAUCAAAACCCAGCCCUUGGAUACAGACGACCUGUUUGUACUAGCAACAGUGGGAGUUUAAUGCAAUCAACAUCAAAGCCAAAACCUAAAUGGUUGAAGUGUUGCACAUUGUGUGCAUCCAAGCAUGUAUGUAUGUGUGUGUGUGUGUGUUUUUUAUGUAUAGUUAUUCUUUAGGUAUUUCCGUCUACUUAGAAUUAUAUAAGCACUGAAACAACAAAUGUAUAAAAAAACAUUUUGACUUGUUUUUACUCUUCUGUUCAAUAAUGUUGUUGGUCACUGUUUUGGUCUGGACUUUUUUUUUUUAAAGACAUUUUGAAACAAUGCUCCUUAGGAUUCUUUAUUGUAUAUAUUUGUGAUGUGGGUAUUUUACUUUUCUUUUUCUAUUACGCAUGGAGUUUGUACAAGAGUAAUGCAUAUACUCAUAAAGAAUUUCAUAUGUACUGCCACCAUAUAUUUUUAUCUGAUUUUUAAUCAAAGCCACCAGGUGUGAACUCUCAUCUUUCAUUGUGAUUUAUGUACAAAUAAAUAUAUUUUUCAUUA
rnacentral:lncRNA from 1 species